GGAGAUUGCAAGAGGAAAACAAAGAGGUGUCUGUGCGUACACGAGAGCAGGCAAAAGCAACGCGCCGAGGAGAAAGAAGCCCGGGAGACCCGCUCAGGCAGCGGAACGUACAGGCACUGUGCUGAACAUGCAUUAUCUCCUUUAAUGCCUCCAAGACCUUCUUGAGAAACACAUUGGAGGCUAAUCCCCAAGACCUGGAGAGAGAUACACCCAAGAAAACCUUUUUGACUUUGCUAGAGGAACUUCACCUGCUUCAAGCUUGUUUUCAUCUCAUCAGAGCUCCUCAUUUCUUCAUCCCUUGGCAGCAGUCAGGAACUCUGCUGCCAUAAAGUGGAUUACUCCUGAAUCAGGGCAUCGUGCCCACUGGUAGCACUGCUUUCCUCUAGAACCAUUCCAGGACCCACAGCCUGGGAACACUCGGCUUGCUCUAGUAGGUACAAUGUAGCUUUGACAUGAAUUAUUCUCUAAAGAAAACUCUCUGGAUGUGCCCAAGAACAAUUUACAUUAGCAGGAGAAAUAAAUAAGAAAAUAG